AUGGCCUUUAGCAGGCAUUAGCGUGGCCUCGUUUCCCUGAGCCAUGUGGGAGCUGUGUGGUUCUGGCUGGCAGAGGCUGGCCUUGGGUGGUCCUGCGACGUUGGUGGUUGUGGCACGUGGAUUUCAGUCCUGGGAAGAGCUGAUCUGGAGAUCCAUUUGGCUGAGGAUAGGUCUGUGGUCAAUCCAAGUGGAUCCUGUUAUCUCUGAGUUCAUGAGGAUGCUGAAGUACUGUGUGAGAUCUGCCUGCUGUCUCAUGUGAAAGCAAGAAGCCUUGGAGAUACUGUGGUGACCAUCAAGCACUCAAAGGAUUUUAAUGCAUCUUCCCAUCACAGAGAAGCCCAGACUGUACUGACUUCUGCAGUAUUCCAAAUAAUCUCAGAAAAAGGUCAGCAUAGAAUUUAACUGAGCUGUUUGCUUUAAAAAUAAAUUUUAAAAAAAUGAACAAAAGGGAGAAAAAAAGAUUUUGUGAAGAUAGAUCAGAAAAUACAGGUCAGAAUAGGAGUAUUGAAACAAAUGCUGGAGUCUUUGUUUCUUGGAAAUCCAGCAUCUUAACAUUUAUCCUAUUUGCCUAGUACCUUUAAUUAAACUGUGAAUAGAAAAAAGGUGAUAAAAGGCACAACUUAUAGUUUAUAGAAUCAUAUAAUGGUUUAGGUUGGAAGGGACCCUAAAGAUCAUCUCAUUCCAACCCUCUGCCAUGGGCUGGGACAACUUUCACCAGACCAGGUCACGCAGAGCCCCUUCCAACCUGGCCCUGAACACGUCAGGGGUGAAGUAUCCACCACAGCUUCUCUGUUUAUCUUCUGCUAACUCCAUUCUGAUUUAAAUGAAGAAUGUUGAAAAGACUAUGCACUAAAUAGCCAUGGAAAAUGGUAGAAUAGAGGUUUUCUUCAAGAACAAAACCCUGUGGUCAGUUCAGUCUUCUCUAAAAGAGCUAAAUUAAUCAUAAAUUGUGGGCUUUUAAUCAUUAAAUAUCCUGUGUAUCUCCUUUCAAAUUCAAUUAUUCAAGACCUCUGUGUGAAGGACUGCAUAGCAGCUUGUUAUAUUAAUGUUCUUUUCAUCAUGCCAUGGAGUUUAAACAGCGAAAUGAUUGACUCUAAAAUGUUUGUUUCCUUUUGGAUUUUUGAGUCAUAAACUUGAACUGUCUCUGUUUUUGCAUGAGUCUGAAAUAAUAUAGACCAAUUUAUCUGUUGCUUAGACGGGCUUUUGUAAACCUGGACACACUUGGUAAACACUGGACCUUGUACAAAAAAUUGCAAAAAUUGUGCUGCAACCUGUAAUCAUAGAAGAAUUCAUAUUAGAGUAGGAUUAAUAAUGCAUGUAAUUAUAAUAUACAAUUUUCUUUAGGCUUUUCUAAUUAUAAAAAAAUUACAGAUAACAUCAACAGUGUGA